ensembl:lncRNA NFIA-AS1 NFIA antisense RNA 1
GAAGCUCAAGUUCACCAUGAGCCACAGCAGUAAGCCAUGCUUUAGCCUCUGACCUGUGCUCCAAUUUUGGUACAAUGAUUUCUGCCAUGUUCUCCAACAGGAUGUAUGUCAUAAAAGUUGGAUGCCUUCCUUUCAAGACAUUUGAAUGGAUCACCAAAUAAUUACCUACUUUUCUCUCACAACUCAGAUAAAUAAUUAAAAGGAGAUAUACACAGAUUGGUUGCAUACUUAAGAGUGAGAAUCAA